rnacentral:rRNA from 1 species
CCUACGGGUGGCAGCAGUGGGGAAUAUUGGACAAUGGGCGAAAGCCUGAUCCAGCCAUGCCGCGUGUGUGAAGAAGGCCUUCGGGUUGUAAAGCACUUUCAGUGGGGAAGAAAGCCUUGGGGCUAAUACCCUCGAGGAAGGACAUCACCCACAGAAGAAGCACCGGAUAACUCCGUGCCAGCAGCCGCGGGAAUACGGAGGGUGCGAGCGUUAAUCGGAAUUACUGGGCGUAAAGCGCGCGUAGGCGGUCUGAUAAGCCGGUUGUGAAAGCCCCGGGCUCAACCUGGGAACGGCAUCCGGAACUGUCAGGCUAGAGUGCAGGAGAGGAAGGUAGAAUUCCCGGUGUAGCGGUGAAAUGCGUAGAGAUCGGGAGGAAUACCAGUGGCGAAGGCGGCCUUCUGGCCUGACACUGACGCUGAGGUGCGAAAGCGUGGGUAGCAAACAGGAUUAGAUACCCGAGUAGUC